AAAACGACUCUCGGCAACGGAUAUCUCGGCUCUCGCAUCGAUGAAGAACGUAGCGAAAUGCGAUACUUGGUGUGAAUUGCAGAAUCCCGUGAACCAUCGAGUCUUUGAACGCAAGUUGCGCCCCAGGCCUUUAGGCCGAGGGCACGUCUGCCUGGGUGUCACGC
rnacentral:rRNA from 1 species